AUGUCGCCCUUGCGCCUGGUUCCAUGGGAAAAUACAAUACUAGAGUUGGAAUUUCAGGGCAUCCAAAAAGAAUUUACUAUGCUUCAGUUUUCGGAGGAAGAUGCUGCUAUUCCUGGUGCUUUUGGUUAUGGAAAAACUGACAUUAGUCAGGAACUUUCUAAGCUUUGGUUUAUGUGGGAUGUGGCUGAAAGAGGAAAUGAGAUGGCCGAGAUUCUAAUGGAUUUCCCCCAAUCGACAAUGACAUUUCUUGACAUGAUAUUGGGAGCCGCCGACCAUGACCCAUGUCUGUUGGAACAAGUGCAAAGGCAACAUCAUCUUCCAGCAGAAGAUUUCCCCUGCAUUGAGCGUUUCAGAGAUGCACUAGGUAGUGGAGUCACUGAGGCAGAGCAGCACCAGCAACUAGCAGCAAGCACAGCAGCACCAGCAGUCUAUCUGCGAGCAGAGCAGCACCAACAGCAAGCAGAGCAGCACCAGCAGUCCAGCAGCGGAGCAGAGCAACAGCAGCGGCAAGCCAAGAAGAAAGAGGAGGAGAAAGGAGGGGCAAGGCAGAGCAGCACCAGCAGUCCAGCAGCGAGGCAGAGCAGCACUGAGGCUCACCUGCCUGAAGAGGAGAAGAGCACGAGGGGUCGGCGGCACGAGGAGGGGCGCGAGACGAAGGAGCAGGAGGGGCGCGAGACGAAGGCGAUGGUGGAGCUUCAGAUCCGCGACGUGGGGCCGGCGACGGUGGAGCUUCAGAUCCGCGGCGGCGGGCGUCCAGCGGCCGGCGGCGCGAGGAGGGCUCGACGGGCGCGUCCAGCAGCCGGCGGCGCGUCCAGGACAAAGCAGGUUCUGGUGGACAAAGAGGUGAUAAGCGAUGAACUCUUCCGGUUACUCCAAGAACAAGUGCAUUAUCAAACUAGAUGUUGUAUAUUAUCCGUCCUUCAUCUUGAUGCUUGUGUAUCCUGCGACAAGUCCAAGCUUAAUCAGGAUAAUCUGAUUAGUGCGUCACAAGUCUGCUAUUUCUAA
rnacentral:rRNA from 1 species